rnacentral:rRNA from 1 species
CGAAAGCCUGACGGAGCAAGACCGCGUGAGGGAGGAAGGCUCUUGGGUUGUAAACCUCUUUUCUCUGGGAAGAAGGACUGACGGUACCAGAGGAAUAAGCCUCGGCUAACUCCGUGCCAGCAGCCGCGGUAAGACGGAGGAGGCAAGCGUUAUCCGGAAUUAUUGGGCGUAAAGCGUCUGCAGGUGGCGAUUCAAGUCUGCUGUCAAAGCACGGGGCUUAACUCCGUUAAGGCAGUGGAAACUGAAUGGCUAGAGUGCCGUAGGGGUAGAGGGAAUGCCCGGUGUAGCGGUGAAAUGCGUAGAUAUCGGGAAGAACACCAGUGGCGAAGGCGCUCUACUGGGCCGCGACUGACGCUGAGGGACGAAAGCUAGGGGAGCG